GUCCCCAUCGUCUAGAGGUCUAGGACGCCGCCCUUUCACGGCGGCAACACGGGUUCGAACCCCGUUGGGGAUGCCA
rnacentral:tRNA from 1 species